GUGCCAGAAGACUCGGUAAUACGAAGGGGGCUAGCGUUGUUCGGAAUUACUGGGCGUAAAGGGCGCGUAGGCGGCCGUGCAAGUCAGAUGUGAAAGCCCUGGGCUCAACCCAGGAUGUGCAUUUGAUACUGCAUGGCUAGAGUGUCGGAGAGGAUGGUGGAAUUCCCAGUGUAGAGGUGAAAUUCGUAGAUAUUGGGAAGAACACCGGUGGCGAAGGCGACCAUCUGGACGACAACUGACGCUGAGGCGCGAAAGCGUGGGGAGCAAACAGGAUUAGAUACCCUGGUAGUCCACGCCGUAAACUAUGCGUGUUGGACGUUGGCGAGCCUAGCUCGUCGGUGUCGCAGCUAACGCGUGAAGUCAUCCGCCUGGGGAGUACGGUCGCAAGAUUAAAACUCAAAGGAAUUGGCGG
rnacentral:rRNA from 1 species